rnacentral:rRNA from 1 species
CGGAAGGAUCAUUAAUGAGAGGGAAGGUUUUAUGCCUUCGGUGCUUCGGCGCCUAACUCUUCACCCCGUGCUUACCAACCUCUGUUGCUUUGGCGGGGUAUCAAGGUUCGUCCUUGGUGUGUCUGCACGCCCCGUCAGAGACCCCCCAUCAAAAUCUUCAUAUCAGUGCAGUCUGAGCUUUUAAUGCAAAUCAUAUCAAAACUUUCAACAACGGAUCUCUUGGUUCUGGCAUCGAUGAAGAACGCAGCGAAAUGCGAUAAGUAAUGUGAAUUGCAGAAUUCAGUGAAUCAUCGAAUCUUUGAACGCACAUUGCGCCCCUUGGUAUUCCGAGGGGCAUGCCUGUUCGAGCGUCAUUGCAACCCUCAAGCUCAGCUUGGUAUUGAGCGUUCGCGGCUUCCUUCGGGGGGCGGCGUGCUUGAAAAUCAGUGGCAGUCCUGGAAGACUUCAAGCGUAGUAAAAACGAUCGUUCUGGAAGCUUUCUGCCUGGGACUUCGCCGACGAAUCCUAUCUAUCUUUCAAUGAUUGACCUCGGAUCAGGCAGGGAUACCCGCUGAACUUAAGCAUAUCAA